AACGCGAACGUAACAAAUAACGCAACGUAAGAAGAAAACGACCGGCAACACUGAAAUCGAAAAAUGGUUUUACCAAUUCUUGUUUAUGUUUGCUAACAUCGCACCAAUUCUUGUUCUUGUUAAAAUCUACGUAAAAAUUCCACUUCAAAAUUACCUAUGCCAAAUUUUGUCUUUGUAUAACUUCCAGGCCAUUUAAUUUAUCAUCCAAAUUCAGGAAAAUAAGGUUUGAUGAAAAUGUGAAACAACAGGUGGUCUUUAAGUGGAUCUUAUAAGCAAAACGAAAAAAAAAGAAAGAAUUAGUGUUGAAAAGCGAUGCGACUGUUAACGACGAGCGGAAAAUUUAAAUACGAACAUUCAAAAUCAAUCUGGAACAACUGCAUAUGGAUCGAUUUUUAAAGAUAAGGGGUUGUUUGACACUUAUUUAAAAGUAUAAUUUUCUUAAACCAUGACCUACUUAAGGUUCCCGACCAAUGAAGACACUCAAUAAUAAUCGCAGAGUAAUAU